rnacentral:tRNA from 1 species
CUGGGUAUGGCUCAGUUGGUAGAGUGCUUGCCUUGCAUGCACAAGGCCCUGGGUUCCAUCCCCAGCACCAAAA